rnacentral:rRNA from 1 species
GGAGUGGUUAGCUUCUGCGAAGCUACGAAUCGAAGCCCCAGUAAACGGCGGCCGUAACUAUAACGGUCCUAAGGUAGCGAAAUACCUUGUCGGGUAAGUUCCGACCCGCACGAAAGGCGUAACGAUUUGGGCACUGUCUCAACGAGAGACUCGGUGAAAUCAUAGUACCUGUGAAGAUGCAAGUUACCCGCGACAGGACGGAAAGACCCCGUGGAGCUUUACUGUAGCCUGAUAUUGAAAUUCGGCACAGCUUGUACAGGAUAGGUAGGAGCCUUUGAAACGUGAGCGCUAGCUUACGUGGAGGCGCUGGUGGGAUACUACCCUAGCUGUGUUGGCUUUCUAACCCGCACCACUUAUCGUGGUGGGAGACAGUGUCAGGC